rnacentral:rRNA from 1 species
UAGGGAAUCUUCCACAAUGGACGCAAGUCUGAUGGAGCAACGCCGCGUGAGUGAAGAAGGUUUUCGGACCGUAAAGCUCUGUUGUUGGUGAAGAAGGAUAGAGGUAGUAACUGGCCUUUAUUUGACGGUAAUCAACCAGAAAGUCACGGCUAACUACGUGCCAGCAGCCGCGGUAAUACGUAGGUGGCAAGCGUUGUCCGGAUUUAUUGGGCGUAAAGCGAGCGCAGGCGGAAGAAUAAGUCUGAUGUGAAAGCCCUCGGCUUAACCGAGGAAUUGCAUCGGAAACUGUUUUUCUUGAGUGCAGAAGAGGAGAGUAGAACUCCAUGUGUAGCGGUGGAAUGCGUAGAUAUAUGGAAGAAUACCAGUGGCGAAGGCGGCUCUCUGGUCUGCAACUGACGCUGAGGCUCGAAAGCAUGGGUAGCGAACAGGAUUAGAUACCCUGGUAGUCCAUGCCGUAAACGAUGAGUGCUAAGUGUUGGGAGGCUUCCGCCUCUCAGUGCUGCAGCUAACGCAUUAAGCACUCCGCCUGGGGGAGUACGACCGCAAGGUUGAAACUCU